rnacentral:rRNA from 1 species
GAUGAACGCUAGCGGCAGGCCUAACACAUGCAAGUCGAGGGGUAGAACACUUCGGUGUUUGAGACCGGCGCACGGGUGCGUAACGCGUAUGCAAUCUACCUUGUACAGGGGAAUAGCCCAGAGAAAUUUGGAUUAAUGCCCCAUAGUAUAUAACCUUCGCAUGUUGGUUAUAUUAAAGUUCCAACGGUACAAGAUGAGCAUGCGUCCCAUUAGUUAGUUGGUAAGGUAACGGCUUACCAAGACGAUGAUGGGUAGGGGUCCUGAGAGGGAGAUCCCCCACACUGGUACGGAGACACGGACCAGACUCCUACGGGAGGCAGCAGUGAGGAAUAUUGGUCAAUGGUCGCAAGACUGAACCAGCCAUGCCGCGUGCAGGAAGACGGUCCUAUGGAUUGUAAACUGCUUUUAUACAGGAAGAAACCCUCCCACGUGUGGGAGCUUGACGGUACUGUAGGAAUAAGGAUCGGCUAACUCCGUGCCAGCCGCCGCGGUAAAAC